AAACGCGCAUGACAUUUUACAGUGGGGGUCAAUGCGCAUAGUCAAAGCAUUGCGCAUUUCGUGGCUAACCUCACAGAGUCGAUCGACCAGCAGCCAACGAGCUGUCAGUGCGAAAACCUUUUCAUUUCGUCUUGUGCUGUAUUUUGGUGCCUAGUGGGUGUGCUAAGUGUCUUCGAGCGCAUUUUGUUAUAUUUAGGUGCUACUAAACAUUAAAAUUACAGGAUGCCUUCAGCAGCGCCACCCGCCGAAAAUGGCGCGCCGCGCAGCGAGCUCGAGCAGCUACAGCUGCGCGCCGGUCAAGUCACCGAUGAGUCGCUGGAGUCGACGCGGCGUAUGAUGCAACUAUGUGAGGAGAGCAAGGAGGCCGGCAUUCGUACUCUGGUCGCUCUAGAUGACCAGGGAGAGCAAUUGGACAGAAUCGAGGAGGGCAUGGAUCAGAUCAACGCGGACAUGCGCGAGGCAGAGAAGAACCUCUCGGGCAUGGAGAAAUGUUGCGGGAUCUGUGUGCUGCCGUGCAACAAGGGUGCGUCGUUCAAGGAGGACGACGGCACGUGGAAGGGGAACGACGACGGCAAGGUGGUGAACAACCAGCCGCAGAGGGUGAUGGACGAGCGCAACGGGAUAGGACCACAAGCUGGAUACAUAGGAAGGAUAACAAACGACGCUCGCGAGGAUGAGAUGGAGGAGAACAUGGGCCAGGUGAACACGAUGAUCGGCAACCUGCGCAACAUGGCGCUGGACAUGGGCUCCGAGCUGGAGAACCAGAACCGCCAGAUCGACCGCAUCAACCGCAAGGGCGAAUCGAACGAAACGAGGAUAACUCUGGCGAACCAGCGCGCGCACGAGCUCCUCAAGUAAAGGACGGCGCCGCACACCACCACACACACACACAUACACACCACUCGGUCUCGUGGUCACAUGCGGGCGCCACGCCCUCACACCGGUUGCAGAUAUACUACCGUUACUCAAAUCGCAGUCUUAUUUCAUUAUUUCUAAACUACAAUAAAUCUACUGAUAAGUCUAUUUAUUUGCGGCUACUUCCAUUCCAAAUAUCAUACAAAUAAAAGAAAUAAAAAACAUUGUUACUGUACCUGCAAAAAACAGGCUCCUAAGAACACAGCAACGCGUUGCUGCAACGUUACUCUCAGCUCUAGGUUGACAAGUAAGUUUUCUUAUAUUUAUGUUAGGCAAAGUCCCAAUAUAUCUGUGACCGGUGUACAAUUUAAUUUAGAAAUGAAAAUAUUUUUGCUUAGUGUCUCUCUUCUAUCUCGAGAUACAUUUAUCCAAUUGUAAUGAAACUUUAAUAUUAAACAUGUAAUCCUAGCAUGCUACUGUAUCAAGUGAACACUCGUUCCUUUAUCACUACUAUUUAUGACAGCUUUUUCUUAACGCUCAACUUUUAAGUACAUGUUGUUGAAAUGUUGAAAAUAUAAGUACACGAUGUGGUUUUGUUUGGAGUAUCCUUUUGUAAGAUAUGUAUUGGAUUAUGAAUGCAGAAAAACACAAUAAAUUGCGUCCAUCAGUGCCAUAAACGACAGUGGCGCACUCUACACAGAAAAAUGACAUUGAAUUCGGCUUUCCAUCAGUGUUUUCGGUUGUAGAAAAUGGUUUGAGCUGGCUACCUCAAAUAAAACUACAUGAUUUUAUUAAUAUUUUUGGUGCUCAUUUCAUGCAGUAGGACAUGUUGAAGUUAUAUAAAUUAUACUUAAUCGUAUUUAUGCCAUUGUCUAGUAUAUUAAAUUAAAAUUAUUAUAAAACUACUACACGAUAUAACAGUUGAGAGGUGGAAGCGUGAGAUUUAUUUUGAGAAAAUGCAUUUACCCCAUGUUAAUAUGUAGUGUUACUGUUGAAGCUAGAUAAAUUAUACCUAUCGUUGCUUGAUGCAGAUUUAAACUAUGAAAUUAUUAUUAUAAACAAUUUACCUAUAACCACAAGAUAUAUGAAAGUUGUUUAAAUCAAAAAAAUGUUAACUUUAAAAGGAUCAUGGGAUCAAAUCUCACCAAGAUCGGAGUUUUCCAACCUACCGGAGUAACCACAUUUUAUCGAUGCGACUAUUAUUUAUCGUUGGCUAUUAAAGUAAAAUGCAUUGAAGACAGCUGGACUACUGUUCGUAAUAGGCUAUCGUAAGAGGGAUGAAUAAAUGGGUAUCAUGAAUGGUAAGAAUGAGUCGAUAUGUGAUAAUAGUUUGAAUUUAAGUGAAUAGACAUUAGACAGUCACAUGUCUUCGAGUAAACUCGUCAUCUGAAUGCAUCAGAUCUCAUCAUUUAUUUUAAAUACUUUUCAUAGGAGCAUUUAUGGAGUUGCCAUCGGAAAAUAAGCAAAAGUAUCCUCAUAUAUGGCUCAAAUAUUUAGAAAAAUUAGUGUCUACACGUGUCUUACUAUAGUCCUAUAAUAAUAAUAAUCAUGGUUACAAAUAGCUUUGACAUAUCUCCUCUAUAUACAUAUCUGCUUCUAUGAAAUAGUAUGAAGACGCUACCUACUUAUAUAAUGUAACUUAGUAUAAAUAUGUAGCUAUUUUAACUUAGCGAUAAAUCUAUCAUAAUUUAUUAUUAUUAAAACUAGUAAUUUUUAUUUAUUUUAUGAAGAAAAUAAAUCAUUUCAUUUACAAAAGUGAUUUAAGUUAUUUAUUUUCCCUUUUUUCUAGGUUUUAUUUUGAUAAAGUUGAUUUAUUAGUAUGUUAAAGUGGCGUCGCCAUUGUUUAUUCAUAGUAACUGCAGAUAAGACAUAAUCAAAUAAGUUAUAUAUAUUUGAAUAAUAAAAAAUGGAGAUGGAAAGAAAGAAAUUGAGGUAGGGCCGUCGCAGUAUACUUUAAGUAAUGAAUAUAAUAUUAAUAUUUAGGUAAUAUCUAUAGGUAAAUUGCUAGAAUUAAUUUAAUGUAGACUAACUUAGAUUGAAGGAGAAAAUAACCAUCUUACUAGGGAAUUGGUAAUCGAACUUCCUACUUAAAAGCUACAAGUAAAUAUCUACCUUAAAUAAAUUGCAUUCUUCCACGAGACUGCACACACACAAACAAACUAAACACACACGUCGCUGAUGAUCGGUGAGAGCAACGAGACGCGCAUAGCGGUGGCCAAUCAGCGCGCGAACAAGCUCCUCAAGUCUUAAGCACCACGCACUUGAAUAACACCACUAAAAUGACGCUUGCCAAACGAAACUUAUUUAUUUCAAUUAGGUAUAGUUACAAACAGUAAAUAAGCCAUUCCAAAUAAUGUAAAGAAGUCAACGAACAUAAGUUUGAAAAUGGAAGUAAUAUAUGAAAUGAAUAUUUGCUUGGUAAGCGUCAUUUUAAGUCCCUUAAGCGUUAUAUUGUGGUAAGUACAGUUAUAUUAUUCGCGUAUAGUAUAAAAAUUGCAAUAAUUUGAUUUAUGUCGUUAUUGUACGAGGCUUGUGGACAAAUUGACUGACGUGUUCCUAGUCAAACUGUCAAGUAUUUACUAAAUAUUGUCUUGUCCAACAAAAUGUAUUCGUAGGUAACUGUACUUACCUGACUAUGUUCAUUUCAACUUUGAGAUUGCAAUUUCCUAAUUUAUUUAUUCUUGCCUUAUUUUUAAGUUAAGUUGCGUUCGCAAUGAACUCUACAUUCAUCUGAGAUUGUAUUUACUAAUCGUAAAAAAACAAUAAAAGUUGUUCGAUACUUAUUAAUGUUGAAAUUAAUGCUUCAAUUAAGAAAUAACUACUUAAUAAAUAAUUCCUUACAAAUAACAUCGUGCUAUGAUCUACUUACUCUCUUAUAUAAAUACAAUCUCAUAAAAUUAAAUCAUUUGCAAAGAAGGAUUAUUUAUGAUUUGAGCAAUGUGCCAAAAUUUUGUUCAUUAAGUACGUCACACACACGUUAAUACACUAUCAUUUAAAUAUUUAAAUAGUUACACUACGUCACUGUGUUUACUGUUCUCAUAAAUAACAAAACAGAGCCUGAACGCAAUGCCUACACCUCGCCUGUAGAUAUUAAAAAUAGAAAACAAAGCUAUUAUUUUUACAAUGAAUUUUUAAAAAUAUGCACUACCUACAUAACUAUUUUCAGAUGACUUUGAAAGGCUAAACAGCCAUUUGUUCCGCGAUAUCGCACUUAUUUGUAGCACAAAGUCUUUAUGAAAGAAAAUAAAAUAAUAUUUAGAUACCUCAUUUGCACUCGACAUUAAUAAUUAAGGCGUGCAAUGAUUCCAAGAUGGCGACGGACGUAGUUAGACCUCGAAGCUCAAACAUUUGUUUCCCGCCAUUAAAUGGCGUCGUGACGUAUCUGCACGUGUGUUACAGAAUUCUUUACUACUUUGAUGAGCAAACAGUACCUAUCAACAAGUCUUCGUCUUUAAAACAUUAGUGAGAUUUUAAAAAUUUAAUAUUAUGUAGUAUUAUGAUAUUUGUUGAGAUUGUUCGUCUCGUCAUUCUUUGUAUCUGUACUCUUAGUACGAGUUUGCUUUACGUUUAACGUGAUCGAAACGAGAACGCGUUCGGCGCUCUCAUUGGUUGGUUCAAUCGAGUCGACCAAUCAGAGCGCCGAACGCGUUCUCGUUUCGAUAACAUAAAACAAACUUGUACUAAAGUCUCUGAUAGUUCAGUUUAGUGUUUAUUUGUAGUACGUUCGUAUUGGAAUCGAAUGUACGUUUUCUAUUAAUUUAUUAGAUUAAGAUAAUGGUGCCUGAAUUCGUAGUUUAAUUUAGUUCUGUUUGAUUUCAUACGUUUGUCAUAUGAUGCAUUUAAUAUUGAAUAAGUUACAGAUGUUUACAGUCGAAGCUUUUGACCUUUAUGUUUUAUUUAGUGAUUGCGUAGAAUUUAUUAAGCGCUUUUACACGGCGUCGCUCGCUGAGUCGGGUAAAGAAAGUUAAGUAAUGAGAAGAGAAAGACGAAUGGCCCUGAGCGUGUAAAACGACUUUCCAGUUAUUGUAAGCUCCAUAAGACCUACUUUCACGAUAAUUCUGCAAUCAAAAUUAGAGUGAAAUAUAAUCUUGUAUCUGCCAUAUUGUUAAGAAUAGACAAGGGCAGUAAUGUAAUGAAUAAAGGUGUAUGUUUAGCUUAAUUUUCCUUUACGAAUUGUCGUGAAACUUGGUCUUAGCCUACUCAGUGAUUCUUGUGUCGAACUUGAUCUGUUGUGAUGUUCCGAUACCGGGCUUCAGUAACUGGUAGAUAUAUGAACAUAGUACUUGAUAGCGUUGUAAUGUGAUUACAGAAUAUAAUGCAAUAGUGUAUGAGAUCGAUAGUUGAAUAUUUAAAACUUUAUUAUUACUUAAAGUGUAUUGUUAUAAGUAUGACGAAUAAAAUGUACCGGCCUUAGGAGUAAUGUGUAGGAUGUUAAAGGCAGCGGCUUGACAAAUUAUUAUACUCGUGUACCAGUUAGUGUUAAGAGUUUUCGAAAAUUUCUCUAUGUCUUUUUCUCUCAAUCGUAUUAGUUUCUAAGGAUAUACGUGUACCGACGGUACGCGGACAUUUAUCUAAGUACAUCAUAUUUUAAUAAAGAAAUAUUUUAACAGUGUUAUCUCGUAACUUUUGAGCUGUGAACCUUCUACUGUCGCAAUGUGCCGUCGACCACUAGCGCCACCGUGUCAAUGUGUCGACGACACAUCGCGGCGGCGCGUGCGCAGCCUCGUAGAUUGUUUUGUAACAGCUAUUCAAUUUAACCAAUAGAUGUGUAAAUUACCGCCUGCAUAAUCUGUAUAAUGAUUUUAAUCAGCCUAAAAAUAUUAACUAUUUAGGAUAAAAAUAAUUAUAUCUAUUUUCUUUAAGAAUAGAUAAAAGGAUAGUAUAAACUGUUAAUUUCUAAUUACAUUAUUGAUUUGUUAAAUUACAAA